ACUCUUGAAGAGCUGGGGAACUGAAUACACAGGCAGUUUUUCUGAGAGCAGUUGGCGAACUCCUCUGGAAGAGAAAGAGGGUUUCUGUUUGGUAUUUCUGGGGUGAACCCAGAGAGCCAGUGAUUCCCUCUUCUUUGGCUUUCUUGAUAUUUUGCCUGUCCUUGCUGCUGUUGGUACUGGUGCUGCUGUCAAGUGCAUUUCAACAGAGAUGUUACUGGGAUUACUGCUUGAGUCAAAGAAGACUCUUGGCUCAGUGCUCUAUCCACAAUGGGUUGCUUGGCUGCCUCUAGAGAAGAUUCCUGUUCAGUUUUGGGCUGUGCCAGAUGUUCUCUGAAAUCCUCCAACUCUGAGAUUCUAUGAUUCAAUCAAAAGGUCGACUCAGUAUGUGUUUGUGUGUGUGUGUGUGUGUGUGUGUGUGUACAUAUACACAACAAUACAGACAGAAUAUAUAAUGUUUAUAUAUUAUAUAUGCAUGUAUGUCUAGUUAAAUAGAAAUCAAAUAUAUGGCAAUAUAAUACAAUAUAAGUAUAUAGUUACAAUAUAACAAAUAUAUAGUUAAAGACUGAUCUUGGAUUCAUUUUGAAGUAUCAAGUACUAGUAUCAGAAGUGACACUUCAGAUGAGAGGUCCAUUAUAAAACCUCAGUUCUGGAGUGUCUCACAUGUUGAAACCAGAUUGAAAUGAAAUUCUUGUGGCAGAGAGAUAAAGUGCAAUACAAAGGAAAGCCACAGCUCUAACUUAGCUGCCAAAAGUCACUGACAGGCUUUGAAAGCAAUCUGCCAUUUUUUUCUGUUCCUUCUUCAUGUGCAGCCUUCUCCAGAAUGCUGGGGUGGGGGUGGAGGGGACUGUUGACUGCAGUGCAUUUCUUUAAGAACAGACACAGACGCUGGCUAAAAUUUUCAUUUGUAAUCCUAAUGUUUUGAUAUCAUGUAGACAAUCAUCCAGUUGUUUAGUCUACAUUAAUACUAAACAUCUGGGCUGUCGGAAACAUCUGAAUAACUGACUGCAUUUUUCUCAUGGUCUGGAUGUUUUGGUAGACAUAGCCAUCUUACCACAGCAAAACAUAACUCAGGUAAAAUAGGAUAUGUGUUGAGGAGAGAAGCAGACAAAAGCCGCCCAGCAUCUUAUGUUAUUUCCUUUGUGAUCAGAAUGUAGAGUUCUCCUGUUUUAUUGAAAGUAAGCAGAUUCUAUUGCCUUGGGAAAGCCUCUCUAUAGGCUCUGCAUUUCCACCACAAUGAUGACUUACAUAGUUUUCUGUGAAAAGUGGAAAGUCAAAUGGGGAACAGAAGUC
rnacentral:lncRNA from 1 species